rnacentral:rRNA from 1 species
UACGUAGGGAGCAAGCGUUGUCCGGAAUCAUUGGGCGUAAAGAGCGUGUAGGCGGUCCUGUAAGUCCGCUGUGAAAGUCAAGGGCUCAACCCUUGAAUGCCGGUGGAUACUGCAGGACUAGAGUCCGGAAGAGGCGAGUGGAAUUCCUGGUGUAGCGGUGAGAUGCGCAGAUAUCAGGAGGAACACCGAUGGCGAAGGCAGCUCGCUGGGACGGUACUGACGCUGAGACGCGAAAGCGUGGGGAGCAAACAGG